UACGUAGGGGGCAAGCGUCAUCCGGAUUUACUGGGUGUAAAGGGAGCGUAGGUGGCAUGGUAAGCCAGAAGUGAAAACCCGGGGCUCAACCCCGCGGAUUGCUUUUGGAACUAUCAGGCUGGAGUGCUGGAGGGGUAAGCGGAAUUCCUAGUGUAGCGGUGAAAUGCGUAGAUAUUAGGAGGAACACCGGUGGCGAAGGCGGCUUACUGGACAGAAACUGACACUGAGGCUCGAAAGCGUGGGGAGCAAACAGG
rnacentral:rRNA from 1 species